CAUGCAGGCGGUUCGUUAAGUUGGGCAUGAAAUCUCUCGGCUUAACCGGGAGGGGUUGUCCAAUACUGGCGGACUUGAGGGCAGGAGAGGGAAGCGGAAUUCCAGGUGUAGCGGUAAUAUGCGCAGAUAUCUGGAGGAACACCAGUGGCGAAGGCGGCUUUCUGGCCUGUACCUGACGCUAAGAUGCGAAAGCCAGGGGAGCGAACGGGAUUAGAUACCCCGGUAGUCCUGGCUGUAAACGAUGGAUACUAGGUGUGGGUGGUAUUGACCCCAUCCGUGCCGAAGCAAACGCGUUAAGUAUCCCGCCUGGGGAGUACGGCCGCAAGGCUAAA
rnacentral:rRNA from 1 species